GGGUUGCGGCGGCUACCAUGCAGUCGAGCGGCAGCGGGAAAGUAGCUUGCUACUUUUGCCGGCGAGCGGCGGACGGGUGAGUAAUGCCUGGGAAAUUGCCCAGUCGAGGGGGAUAACAGUUGGAAACGACUGCUAAUACCGCAUACGCCCUACGGGGGAAAGCAGGGGACCUUCGGGCCUUGCGCGAUUGGAUAUGCCCAGGUGGGAUUAGCUAGUUGGUGAGGUAAUGGCUCACCAAGGCGACGAUCCCUAGCUGGUCUGAGAGGAUGAUCAGCCACACUGGAACUGAGACACGGUCCAGACUCCUACGGGAGGCAGCAGUGGGGAAUAUUGCACAAUGGGGGAAACCCUGAUGCAGCCAUGCCGCGUGUGUGAAGAAGGCCUUCGGGUUGUAAAGCACUUUCAGCGAGGAGGAAGGGUCAGUAGCUAAUAUCUGCUGGCUGUGACGUUACUCGCAAAAGAAGCACCGGCUAACUCCGUGCCAGCAACCGCGGUAAUACGGAGGGUGCAAGCUUUAAACGAAAUUACCGGGCGUAAACCGCGCGCCGGCC
rnacentral:rRNA from 1 species